ensembl:lncRNA
CUGCUGUGCACAAAACCGGAGUGGGACACACUCUGUCCGGGGCAGCAGCUCCAGAGAACCCCUCUGUGUGCAGAGAUUCGUGCUCAUCCUCCCCCAGCCAUCACUCAGGGAGGAUUGAUGGGGCAGUGGCCUUGCCUGGCUGCUCACAGUGGAGAAAAGCUGUCCUGGCAGCAGAGGUAACCAGAGGGAAAUCGCUCCUCCUGAGGUGCUGCAGGACAGCUCUGUAAACAGAGUCACCCUGGGAAGAAUUACUGCCAUCCUGCUGGAAUCUCAGCAGUAUCUGGAUAAACAGCUUGAGAAAUGCUGAUCAGAAAAGAGCUGGGACUCCCUGGUGUUUCCACCAGCCCUCUGCAGCUCCUCUCCCGACUUCUGACUCUGCAUUUUCACCCUGUUGCUCCAGCAGGCAGCUGGGUGACAUCUAAACAUCUCAAGUGGGCUAAGCUGCUCUGAUCCCUGCAUUUCUCCUCCUGCUUCCUCCUCUUGAAGGAAGCCUGUGAAUUUUUGGUGGCUGAUGACUCAGUGUCACUUUAUGGCUGCCUCUGGACAGGAAAAGCCUUUGCAGACACUGAAAAGUGAGCACCACUGAAUUCCUGGCUGGAUGCCACUGCUCUGCUCCUGAAGAUGAGAACAGGAGCAUUUACUCCAUGAAAUAUUUGCUGGUUUUCCUAAUUCAACAAAGUGACAACUCAUUUUAAACUUCUUGUGCCAUCCACAUGGCCUCUGAGGCAUUUUCCUGCCAUCAGUGCUCUGAUGUAGGGGAGCACAGGGUCCCUGACAAUAAAGGAUUUAUCUUUGGGACCAUGGUGUGACCAGCAGGUUUUCCAGAGUGACAGAGGAGUUAUGGGGAACAUUUCCAGCCUGGUCCUGGAUGUGGUUCCACAUGUGCCACCCCAGCAGGUACAACAGAGCUCUCCUGGAGUUUCUUUGACAGAGGCAUUCCAGAUAUCCAAACCUCCAGAUUUAAUACCCUGGCUCUACCUCACAGCCACCCAGGAGCUGGGGAGACUCCACAGGAAGAAUUUUUAUUGUGUUUUCCCAAGGAGUAGCUCUAAGAAAUGCAAUCAGUGGGGUCAACAGACUAUUUCAGCUGCUUCUGCCAUAUUCCUCCAGGGAUUUGAGAAGAAUGGCUGGAUUUAUGGAAUCAUGCUCAGGUUAUAUCUAACCCAUUUGUUUACUCCUCUUUCAAUACAGAUGAGAUGGAUCAAAUCUCUGGAGAAUGAAGUCUGUUUACCUGCAGAACAGAGGGGUUCAGCAGCAAGGCUGCUUCAGAUUGCCCUGCAGACACCAGCCUGGAAAGGCACUUUUAGGGCCCAGGCUCCAGUGGCAGCCCCAGACAUUUGCACUGAAUUUGGAAGUUUUGUGUGCCAGAAGCUGCAGAUAACACCAGAGCUGAGCUGCUGCUGAUUAGAGGUAAUUAUAGAUUGGCCUGCUAAUUUCUAGAGCAAUUUUUAAGCUUUCACAGAAGAAGGAAUGGAAUCAUUUCUUGUCUUAGCAAAUGACAGCUAUUUGUAUGCAACUCUGUUAAGGACAGCUUUGCAUCCAAAUUAGUGCCUGGAGCAGAGCCAGAGCUCUGAGGCAAUCAGUGGGGAUGGCAGGAUGCUGGCUGAGGGCACAAGUGACAAAUGUCUCCUUUUUCCACCUUACCCAGCAGUUUAAACACAGAGAAUUGGAGCUGUCUUACUCUUCCAACCAACACAGGCACGGAAAUCGCUGUGCCCCUGACUCAGCAGAGGAGGGGAAUUGCCUUCUGCAACUGCCCCACGCCAAGCACUGAGCCUGGACAUCAAAAUUAAUCUUUUACAGGCACUUCUGGAAGUGAAACCUGUUGGCCAAGAGCGUGCAGGGCCUUGUCACCACAAGGGUGACUCGGCACAGGGACAGUGUGGCAAAAAGGAAGCGAUGGAGAAGCAGUGACAGGACUGUCAGGUGGCCACUUGUGCUGGUCACACCACAUUUAUGACAAAAUGAAGCUCCUGGUGUGCUAAUCUUAGUGGCCUGAUUUGUUCUGGAAUUGGAUACAGAGUCCUUGUUAAUGAAGAACCAUCGUGGAAGAAGCUGAAUUAACUCCAUGAAAUAUUUGCUGGUUUUCCUAAUUCAACAAAGUGACAACUCAUUUUAAACUCCUUGUGCCAUCCACAUGGCCUCUGAGGCAUUUUCCUGCAAUCAGUGCUCUGAUGUAGGGGAGCACAGGGUCCCUCAUAAUAAAGGAUUUCCCUCUGGGACCA